GGUGUUGCGAUGAUUAUAAGAUAAUUCCUCGUUCUGAAUGCGUAUAUGCAUGACAGACUCUUUUACACCCAUAGAAUAUGAGCUCU